rnacentral:rRNA from 1 species
GGCCCGCACAAGCGGUGGAGUAUGUGGUUUAAUUCGAUGCAACGCGAAGAACCUUACCAGGGUUUGACAUCCUGCGAAUCUCUUGGAAACGAGAGAGUGCCUUCGGGAACGCAUGGUGACAGGUGGUGCAUGGCUGUCGUCAGCUCGUGUCGUGAGAUGUUGGGUUAAGUCCCGCAACGAGCGCAACCACGUCUUUAGUUGCCAGCAUUAGUUGGCACUCUAGAGAGACCGCCGGUGAUAAACCGGAGAAGGUGUGGAUGACGUCAAGUCAUCAUGCCCUUCAUCAUCUGGGCUACACACGUACUACAAUGCUACGGACAAAGAGCAGCAAGUUCGCGAGGACAAGCAAAUCUCAUAAACCGUGGCUCAGUUCAGA